rnacentral:rRNA from 1 species
GACGAACGCUGGCGGCGUGCUUAACACAUGCAAGUCGAACGGAAAGGCCCUGCUUGCAGGGUACUCGAGUGGCGAACGGGUGAGAAAAAGUUGGGGGUCCGCCCCGCCCUUCGGGGUUAGCCCUGGAAAAUGGGGUCUAUAACAGGUUGGAGGCCUUUUUCGUGGGUUGGGUGGGAAGGUUUUUUGGUGUGGGAUGGGCUGGGGGCCUGGCAGCUUGGUGGGGGGGUGAUGGCCUGCCAAGGCAGGGACGGGUCGCCGGGCCGGGGGGGGGGACGGGCACAUUGGGACUGGGAUACGGCCCAGACUCCUACGGGAGGCAGCAGUGGGGAAUAUUGCACAAUGGGCGCAAGCCUGAUGCAGCGAAGCCGCGUGGGGGAUGACGGCCUUCGGGUUGUAAACCCCUUUCGCUAGGGACGAAGCUUUUUGUGACGGUACCUAGAUAAGAAGCACCGGCUAACUACGUG